AUGAGGGCGGUCCUGAGAGACGACAAAGGUAGGUUUAUCGCAGGAGGAAAUGGAAAGAUUGACUAUUGUGCGGUUGUUCUGAUAGCAGAAGCCUUAGCUCUCAAAUUUAGCCUAACACUGGCACAAAGGGCGGGGUAUAAUCGUCUUAUCAUUAAUUCAGACAACCUGGAAGUGAUUGAGACCAUGUCCGCGGGUAUGGCGGCGGCAAUUUUCGACGAUUGUUUUCACUAUGCGUGUGAUUUUGUUACGACUAGAUUCGAACAUUGUAAUAGAGAGACAAAUAAAGUAGUUCAUGAGCUCGCUAGAUUACCUAGAUUUUCUUGUACUUCAGAUUUGUUCGAGGAGCCUCCAAAUGAAAUUCUAAUGAUCCUUACAAAUGUUGUACUGAUUAUUUCCAAUUAA
rnacentral:rRNA from 1 species